rnacentral:rRNA from 1 species
UUGGAAAAGUAAAAGUCGUAACAAGG